rnacentral:rRNA from 1 species
AGGGCAGAAUCCGAGUAACCAAUCCCAUAAAGCCGUACUCAGUUCGGAUCGCAGUUGCAACUCGACUGCGUGAAGCUGGAAUCGCUAGUAAUCGAGGAUCAGCAUGCCGCGGUGAAUACGUUCCCGGGCCUUGUACACACCGCCCGUCACACCACGAGAGUUUGUAACACCCGAAGUCGGUGAGGUAACCUUUUAGGAGCCAGCCGCCGAAGGUGGACAGAUGAUGGGGGU